rnacentral:rRNA from 1 species
CGUUAGGAUGAACGCUAGCGACAGGCUUAACACAUGCAAGUCGAGGGGUAACAGGGUAGCAAUACCGCUGACGACCGGCGCACGGGUGAGUAACGCGUAUGCAACCUGCCUAUAACUGGGGAGUAGCUCCCUGAAAGGGGAAUUAACACCGCAUAACACUAUUGAUUCGCAUGGAUUAGUAGUUAAAUGUAGCGAUACAGGUUAUAGAUGGGCAUGCGUGACAUUAGCUAGUUGGUGAGGUAACGGCUCACCAAGGCUACGAUGUCUAGGGGUUCUGAGAGGAAGGUCCCCCACACUGGUACUGAGACACGGACCAGACUCCUACGGGAGGCAGCAGUGAGGAAUAUUGGUCAAUGGGCGCAAGCCUGAACCAGCCAUGUCGCGUGCAGGAAGACUGCCCCCUAUGGGUUGUAAACUGCUUUUAUAGUAGAAGAAACACAUCUACGUGUAGAUGUCUGCCAGUAUACUAUGAAUAAGCAUCGGCUAACUCCGUGCCAGCAGCAGC